GAUGAACGCUGGCGGCGUGCUUAACACAUGCAAGUCGAACGAAGCAUUUGCGACAGAUUUUUUCGGAAUGAAGUUGCUUAUGACUGAGUGGCGGACGGGUGAGUAACGCGUGGGUAACCUGCCUUGUACUGGGGGAUAGCAGCUGGAAACGGCUGGUAAUACCGCAUAAGCGCACAAUGUUGCAUGACAUGGUGUGAAAAACUCCGGUGGUAUAAGAUGGACCCGCGUCUGAUUAGCUAGUUGGUGAGAUAACAGCCCACCAAGGCGACGAUCAGUAGCCGACCAGAGAGGGUGACCGGCCACAUUGGGACUGAGACACGGCCCAGACUCCUACGGGAGGCAGCAGUGGGGAAUAUUGCACAAUGGAGGAAACUCUGAUGCAGCGACGCCGCGUGAGUGAAGAAGUAAUUCGUUAUGUAAAGCUCUAUCAGCAGGGAAGAUAGUGACGGUACCUGACUAAGAAGCUCCGGCUAAAUACGUG
rnacentral:rRNA from 1 species